GAUGAACGCUGGCGGCGUGCCUAAUACAUGCAAGUCGAGCGAACGGACGAGAAGCUUGCUUUUCUGAUGUUAGCGGCGGACGGGUGAGUAACACGUGGAUAACCUACCUAUAAGACUGGGAUAACUUCGGGAAACCGGAGCUAAUACCGGAUAAUAUUUUGAACCGCAUGGUUCAAAAGUGAAAGACGGUCUUGCUGUCACUUAUAGAUGGAUCCGCGCUGCAUUAGCUAGUUGGUAAGGUAACGGCUUACCAAGGCAACGAUGCAUAGCCGACCUGAGAGGGUGAUCGGCCAAACUGGAACUGGGGAACGGGCCCAACUCCCACGGGCAGCAGGGAGAAGGAAACUUCCAAAAUUGGCGAAAGGCUGAAGGAAGAAAGCCGCAUGGGUGAAUGAGGGAUUCAGGUCGUAAAACUCUUUUAAUAGGGAAGGACAUAAGUGUAAAUAAAUGGUCACAACUUGACGGUACCUAAUCAGAAAGCCACGGCUAACUACGUG
rnacentral:rRNA from 1 species